rnacentral:rRNA from 1 species
CCAAGCGUAUACGGGCGCACGAUGGAUGCCUUGGCACCACGAGGCGAGGAAGGACGCGGCAGACUGCGAUAAGCCACGGGGAGCCGUCAGCUGGCCCUGAUCCGUGGAUUUCCGAAUGGGGAAACCCGCCGCCCGUCAUGGGGCGGCGCCUGCGGGUGAAUAGAUAGCCCGCCAGGAGCUACACCGGGGGAAGUGAAACAUCUCAGUACCCCGAGGAGAAGAAAUCAAGAGAGAUUGCGCGAGUAGUGGCGAGCGAAAGCGCACGACGGCCAAACCGGGGGGCAUGCCCCCCGGGGUUGCGGGACCGGGACACGGUACCGGGAAGGCUAGGCGAACGGCAUGGAAAGGCCGGCCGCAGCGGGUGAGAGCCCCGUAGCCGAAAGCCCAACCGGACCCACCGGGAUCCCAAUUAGGACGGGACACGUGAAACCCCGUCCGAAUCCGGGGAGACCACUCUCCAAGCCUGAAUACUCCGUGGUGACCGAUAGUGGACAAGUACCGUGAGGGAAAGGCGAAAAGAACCCCCGCGAGGGGAGUGAAACAGACCUGAAAUCGUGCGUCCACAAGCUAUGGGAGCGUCCUCGGACGCGACCGUUUGCCUUUUGCAUAAUGAGUCCGCGAGUCAAUCCGGCCGGCGAGCGUAACCGAGAGGGGACGCGAAGCGAAAGCGAGUCCGAACAGGGCGUGCGAGUCGGCCGGAUUGGACCCGAAGCCCAUGCGAGCUAUCCUUGGACAGCGUGAAGCCCCCGUAACGGGGGGUGGAGGCGCGAAUCCGUGACCGUUGAAAAGGUCUGGAAUGAGCUGAGGAUGGGAGUGAAAGGCUUAUCAAGCUGGGUAAUAGCUGGUUCUCUCCGAAAUGCCUUUAGGGGCAGCGUCGCGGAACGCAGGCGCCGGAUGUAGAGCACUGAUCGAUCUAGGGUCCCCACCGGGAUGCCGAAGUCCGUCAAACUCCGAAGGCCGGCGCCGUCACCGCGGCAGCGAGACAGUGGGGGCUAAGCUUCAUUGUCGAAAGGGAAACAGCCCAGGACCGCCGAAUAAGGUCCCAAACCGACGUUAAGUCACUAAGGCAGUGAGGUCUCCCGGACAGGUAGGAUGUUGGCUUAGAGGCAGCCACCAUUUAAACAGUGCGUAACAGCUGACUACCCGAGAGACCCCGCGCCGAAAAUGAUCGGGAGUCAAACGUCGGACCGAAUUCGCGGGCCGCCACUAUUGUGGCGGCGGUAGGAGAGCGUCGUGCGACGGGGCGAAGCCGUGCGGGAAACCGGCGGUGGACUUCGCACGAGCGAUUAUGCGGACAUGAGUAACGUAAAACCCGAUGGAAAUUCGGGUCGCCGGAAUCCCAAGGUUUCCCGGGGCAGGUUCGUCCGCCCGGGGUUAGUCGGCACCUAAGACGAGGCCGAAGGGCGUAGUCGAUGGACGGCAGGUCAACAUUCCUGCACCGGCGGGGGUUUGAGCGUGGUUCGGAGAAGGACAGUGGAGGGGGGUCAAUGGCUAUCCCCCGCACGGCCGGGAACGGCCGGGCGCCGGAGGGGUUCGCCCCGACGGCCCCAUGCGUCCCCGCUUCCAAGAAAAGACCACGCGUAUUAACCCGUCGGCCGUACCAAAACCGACACAGGUGGGAUGGUACAAGGAUACCAAGGCGCGCGGGAGAAACCUCGUUAAGGAACUCGGCAACAUGACCCCGUAACUUCGGGAGAAGGGGUCCUCCGGGGCAAUGCCCGGAGGCGCAGCGAAACGGCCCAUGCGACUGUUUAACAAAAACACAGCACUCUGCCAACCCGUGAAGGGGAAGUAUAGGGUGUGACACGUGACCAAUGCGGAAAGGUCAAGGCGAGGAGUCAGCGCAAGCGAAGCCCCGAACCAAAGCCCCCGUGAAUGUCGGCCGUAACUAUAACGGUCCUAAGGUAGCGAAAUUCCUUGUCGGGCAAGUUCCGACCUGCACGAAUCGUGUAACGAUAUGGGCGCUGUCUCAACGAGGAUCUCGGUGAAGUUGUAGUGCCGGUGAAAAUGCCGGAUACCCGCAGAAGGACGGAAAGACCCCAUGAACCUUUACUGUAGCCUGGUACUGGGUUCUGGUCGGAUGCAUGUAGCAUAGCCGGGAGGCUUGGAAGGGCGCUCGUCAGGGCGCCCGGAGCCGCAACGUGAAAUACCGGUUCCAUCCGGGCGGAGUUCUAACCCCAUCCCGUCAUCCGGGAGGGGGACAAUGCCAGGGGGUCAGUUUGACUGGGGCGGUUUCCUCCCAAACAGUAACGGAGGAGUUCGAAGAUCGGCUCAGCACGGUCGGCAAUCGUGCGUCGAGCGCAAGGGUAGAAGCCGGUCUGACUGCGACACCGACAGGUGGGGCAGACGCGAAAGCGGGACCUAGUGAUCCGGCGCUUCCUCGUGGAAGGGGCGUCGCUCAACGGAUAAAAGGUACUCUGGGGAUAACAGGCUGAUCGCGGCCGAGAGUUCACAUCGACGCCGCGGUUUGGCACCUCGAUGUCGGCUCUUCGCAUCCUGGGGCUGGAGAAGGUCCCAAGGGUUUGGCUGUUCGCCAAUUAAAGCGGAACGCGAGCUGGGUUCAAAACGUCGUGAGACAGUUUGGUCCUUAUCCUCUGUGGGCGCAGGUGGUUUGACGGGAGCAUUCCCUAGUACGAGAGGACCGGGAAUGACGGGCCCAUGGUGUUCCGGUUGUCGCGCCAGCGGCAUGCCGGGUAGCUAUGCCCGGAACGGAUAAGCGCUGAAGGCAUCUAAGCGCCAAGCCUCCCCGAAGACGAGACCACCCGCCAGAAAUGGCCUCAAGCGCGGUCGUAGACGACGACCUCGAUAGGCCGCAGGUGCAGGCGCGGCGACGCGUUGAGCCGAGCGGUACUAAUCGCGCGUGCGGCUUGGCUUU